rnacentral:rRNA from 1 species
UACGUAGGGUCGAGCGUUGUCCGGAAUUAUUGGGCGUAAAGGGCUCGUAGGCGGUUCUGUUGCGGUCGGUAAGUCGAAACUCAGGCUUAACCUGAGCUGCUUCCGAUACGGGCAGACUAGAGUGUGGUAGGGGAGACGUGGAAUUCCUGGUGUAGCGGUGAAAUGCGCAGAUAUCAGGAGGAACACCGAUGGCGAAGGCAGGUCUGCUGGCCACUACUGACGCUGAGAAGCGAA